rnacentral:lncRNA from 1 species
GUUAAUAAUAAAUAUAUCAAUUUAAAAAUUAAAAACUCAGUAGAUAGUCAUAAACUCAUAAAAUAAGCAACAUCUAUUCUUCUUGAAGAUUUACAAAUUCUACAACAUCAUAAUUGAUAGUAUUAUAUUGGCUAUCAUCUUCUUCAUCCUCCGACACUUCAUCAAUUAGGGUGGACCGGCUUGAACUUGCUACCCCCUUUCCCUUGUACGUUGAANN